rnacentral:rRNA from 1 species
GGUGAACGUUGGCGGUGCGCCUAACACAUGCAAGUCGAGCGAGGCCUCGAGACGAGCGGCCGCCUGCUGAGUAACACGUUGGUAACUACCUCAAACUCAGGGAUAACGACGAGAAAUUGGUGCUAAUACCGGAUGGUCUUACAAGGGUAAAGCUUAUAAGUUUUGAGUGGAACCGGCGACCGAUCAGGUAGUUGGCGAGGUAAUGGCGCACCAAGAGGAUGACGGGUAACUGGUGUGAUAGGAUGACCAGUCAGAGGGAAACGGAGACACGGGUCCCAAAUCUUCGGAAGGCAGCAGUAAAGAAACCUCCACAAUGGACGUGAGUCAAAAGGGGCUUCGCCGCGUACAGGAUGAAGGCCCUUGAAGCAUAAACGGCUUUUAUGAGGGAAAAAUUCUGACUGUACCCAAAGAAUAAGCACCGGCUAAUCACGUG